GAUCCUGGCUCAGGAUGAACGCUGGCGGCGUGCUUAACACAUGCAAGUCGAACGAAGCACUCUAUUUGAUUUUCUUCGGAAAUGAAGAUUUUGUGACUGAGUGGCGAACGGGUGAGUAACGCGUGAGGAACCUGCCUCAAAGAGGGGGACAACAGUUGGAAACGACUGCUAAUACCGCAUAAGCCCACGGGUCGGCAUCGAUCUGAGGGAAAAGGAGCAAUCCGCUUUGAGAUGG
rnacentral:rRNA from 1 species